rnacentral:pre_miRNA from 1 species
ACAGGAUUCACUUAGGGAUCUCUUUAAAGGGCAGAUUCUGAUUCCCUAGACCUGAGAGUCUGCAUUUCUAACAAGCUCCCAGGUGAUGCUAAU